rnacentral:rRNA from 1 species
AGUGAACGCUGGCGGUAGGCCUAACACAUGCAAGUCGAACGGCAGCACAGUAAGAGCCUGCUCUUACGGGUGGCGAGUGGCGGACGGGUGAGGAAUACAUCGGAAUCUACUUUUUCGUGGGGGAUAACGUAGGGAAACUUACGCUAAUACCGCAUACGACCUACGGGUGAAAGCAGGGGAUCUUCGGACCUUGCGCGAUUGAAUGAGCCGAUGUCGGAUUAGCUAGUUGGCGGGGUAAAGGCCCACCAAGGCGACGAUCCGUAGCUGGUCUGAGAGGAUGAUCAGCCACACUGGAACUGAGACACGGUCCAGACUCCUACGGGAGGCAGCAGUGGGGAAUAUUGGACAAUGGGCGCAAGCCUGAUCCAGCCAUACCGCGUGGGUGAAGAAGGCCUUCGGGUUGUAAAGCCCUUUUGUUGGGAAAGAAAAGCAGCAGGUUAAUACCCCGCUGUUCUGACGGUACCCUAAGAAUAAGCACCGGCUAACUUCGUG